UAGGUACAGUGAUGUCGGUUCACAUGGGGCUAAUGGGGUCAUUCUUGGAGUGAUGCUGGUUCACAAUGGGUUAAAUGACACAGUGACGGUUCACAGGAAUUAUUGGGACAUGGUGGUGCUGGUUCACAAAUGGUUAACAGGGCAGAAUGAUGCUGGCUCACAUGGGGUUAUUAGGGCAAGGUACUGAAGUUGGUGCAUGUGGGGGGUUAACAGGGUAGUUCCUAAAGUGAUGCAGUUCAUAAGGGGUUAACGGCAGUGAUUGGUUCACAUGGAGUUAAUGGGAAACAAUGACACUAAUAUACAAGGGGUUAACAAAACAGAGUGUGGGUUCACGUAGGAUUAUUGGGCAAGGCAGAAGUUGGAUCAUGUGGGGUUAAAAAGGCAGUUCCUAGAGUGACGCUGGUUUGCAAGAGGUUAACAGGGUGCAGUGACGUUCAUUGGUGUAAGGUUAACCAGGCAGAGCAGUGACGUAAGUUGACGCGAGGUUAACAGAGCAGUGAGGAAACAUGAUACCCACCCAGACAGCACAUCUGUGUCAGUAGAAUCAUCUUCGUGGACCUCCUCUGGAUCUUCUACAAUGACAAUACAUCUUUUCUGAGUGCCAGACCACCAGCAGAGUGACAACAUGUCCCACUACCACCAAAGAGGGCAAGAUCCGGCCUGUCGAACCCUGAGGCAUGGGAGGGGUGUGUCUGAGUUCCACAGCCCGGAGAGAACCAGACUAGAGCGGC